rnacentral:rRNA from 1 species
UACGUAGGGGGCAAGCGUUGUCCGGAUUUAUUGGGCGUAAAGAGCGUGUAGGCGGCCAGACAGGUCCGUUGUGAAAACUCGAGGCUCAACCUCGAGACGCCGAUGGAAACCGUCUGGCUAGAGUCCGGAAGAGGAGAGUGGAAUUCCUGGUGUAGCGGUGGAAUGCGCAGAUAUCAGGAAGAACACCAACGGCGAAGGCAGCUCGCUGGGACGGUACUGACGCUGAGACGCGAAAGCGUGGGGAGCGAACAGG